CCCUUAGAUGUUCUGGGCCGCACGCGUGCUACACUGAGUGGAUCAGCGGGUCAGGUUGCGCGAAAGUGUUUCCUAAUCUUGAAAUCCGCUCGUGAUGGGGAUUGACGGUUGCAAUUUUCCGUCAUGAACGAGGAAUACCUUGUAAGCGCGGGUCAUCAUCCCGCGCUGAAUACGUCCCUGCCCUUUGUACACACCGCCCGUCGCUACUACCGAUUGAAUGGUUUAGUGAGAUCUUCGGAUUGGCGCCACUGCGGCUCAGCAAUGGGCUCGGUGGAUGCCGAAAAGUUGAUCAAACUUGAUCAUUUAGAGGAAGUAAAAGUCGUAACA
rnacentral:rRNA from 1 species